rnacentral:rRNA from 1 species
GCAUUCCUACGGGGGGCAGCAGUGGGGAAUAUUGGGCAACGGACGCAAGUCUGACCCAGCAACGCCGCGUGAAGGAAGAAGGCUUUCGGGUUGUAAACUUCUUUUAAGGGGGAAGAGCAGAAGACGGUACCCCUUGAAUAAGCCACGGCUAACUACGUGCCAGCAGCCGCGGUAAUACGUAGGUGGCAAGCGUUGUCCGGAUUUACUGGGUGUAAAGGGCGUGUAGCCGGGCUGACAAGUCAGAUGUGAAAUCCGGGGGCUCAACCCCCGAACUGCAUUUGAAACUGUCAGUCUUGAGUACCGGG